rnacentral:rRNA from 1 species
AUUGAACGCUGGCGGCAGGCCUAACACAUGCAAGUCGAGCGGAGCGGCGGACGGGUGAGUAAUGCCUCGGAAUCUGCCUGGUAGUGGGGGAUAACGUCCGGAACCGGGCGCUAAUACCGCAUACUAUCAGAUGAACCUAGGUCGGAUUAGCUAGUAGGUGGGGUAAAGGCUCACCUAGGCGACGAUCCCUAGCUGGUCUGAGAGGAUGACCAGCCACACGGGAACUGAGACACGGUCCAGAUUCCUACGGGAGGCAGCAGUGGGGAAUAUUGACCAAUGGGCGCAAGCCUGAUGCAGCCAUGCCGCGUGUAUGAAGAAGGCCUUCGGGUUGUAAAGUACUUUCAGCGGGGAGGCGUUACCCGCAGAAGAAGCACCGGCUAACUCCGUGCCAGCCGCCGCGGUAAUUC